AUACGUAGGGGGCGAGCGUUGUCCGGAAUGAUUGGGCGUAAAGGGCGCGUAGGCGGCCCGGUAAGUCUGGAGUGAAAGUCCUGUUUUUAAGAUGGGAAUUGCUUUGGAUACUGUCGGGCUUGAGUGCAGGAGAGGUAAGUGGAAUUACCAGUGUAGCGGUGAAAUGCGUAGAGAUUGGGAGGAACACCAGUGGCGAAGGCGACUUACUGGACUGUAACUGACGCUGAGGCGCGAAAGUGUGGGGAGCAAACAGGAUUAGAUACCCUGGUAGUCCACACUGUAAACGAUGAAUGCUAGGUGUAGGGGGUAUCGACCCCUUCUGUGCCGCAGUCAACACAAUAAGCAUUCCGCCUGGGGAGUACGGCCGCAAGGUUGAAACUCAAAUGAAUUGGCGGGG
rnacentral:rRNA from 1 species